UGUACACACCGCCCGUCGCUCC
rnacentral:siRNA from 1 species